UACAGAGGUCUCAAGCGUUGUUCGGAAUCACUGGGCGUAAAGGGUGCGUAGGUGGCGUGGAAAGUCGGAUGUGAAAGCUCGGAGCUCAACUCCGAAAUGGCAUUGGAAACUACCCAGCUCGAGGGUUGGAGGGGGACUGGAAUGCUUGGUGUAGCAGUGAAAUGCGUAGAUAUCAAGCGGAACACCAGUGGCGAAGGCGAGUCCCUGGACAACUCCUGACACUGAGGCACGAAAGCUAGGGGAGCAAACAGG
rnacentral:rRNA from 1 species